CAUUCUUGGGUCCCUCCAUCGGUGUGUCGGGCCUGUGCCAAGGACUUCACCUGCCCUUCCCAUUCAAUCUUCACCAAAAACCUAUGCGCUAGGUACUUUGAAUUACCACUUCGUAUAAAAGCGGGGCGCAGAGCCACUAAGCAAGCAGGGGUGGCGUGUGUCGGAGCCAGAAUCUAUUUUCGGCUCUCUGAUUUACCCACGGAAGGACCUCCCUCCCCACCCCCCACCCCGCCGGGAGCAGCCUAUCUUGGUGCAAAAUGCACCGAGCUACCGAGGCUGCCUUCCAGGACUCCGCGCGGAAGCUUAGGCUGCCUCGAUCCCCUUUCUGGUAACUCCCUCUCAGCUGAGACUCCGGGUCCCCUCCGCCCCCUUUUGCCCCUCUUCGCGGGGACCGGGCGGGCUCUCGGUCGGUGCCCCGGCCCCAGGAUCCCCGGCGCUGUGCUCUCCCCAAGAGGAGGUCGGGCCCAGGACGCGCUAGGUCCGCAGCGGGUGUGGAAGGACCCUGGGCUCGGCUCCCACGCUCGGGCCGGCCUCCCGCCCCGGGUCGGAGCUGCGGUCACUGGCGGCUUCGGGGCCGUGGCGUCCCGCGCUCAGCGUCCGCGCCUCUGGAAGGCAUUGAGUCGUUUCUUUCCCGUACUGGAGGGACAGUUUCCCAAAGCGGACGCGGGGCUGGCGGCGGGAGGGGGAAUAGGGCUGGCGGGGCUGAAGGCUUCACGGGGGCAACCAACGCGCGCGCCUCUCUCCUCUCUCUCCCCGUUCCCUCUCUCUUUCUCUCUCCCGCCACCCCUCGCCCUCCCCUCUCUGUCUCUCCCUCUCUCCCUUAGCUCUCUCUCUCUUCCCCAUUCUCUCGCUUUUCCCCCUUUCUCUGUCUCUCCGCUCUUUCCUUUCUCCCCGCCUCCCCUCGCAGUCUCUCGCUCUCUCCCCUCACCCCUCGCUUUCUCUCGCCUUUCCUCUCUCUCUCCCACCUCCCCUACACCGUCCCUCUCAACUCCCCUCUCUCCCCACCUCUUUCUCGCUCGGCCCCCUCUCCUUCCUCCUCCCUCCUCCCUCUCUCCUUCCUUCUUCCCAACUUCUCUUCCCCCCUCUCUCCCUCCCCGCCUCCUUCCCUCCUUCCUUCUUUCUCCCUCCUUCCUCCUCCCUCUCUCCUUCCUACUUCCCAACCUCCCUUCCCCCCUCUCUCCCUCCCCGCCUCCUUCCUUCCUUCCUUCUUCCUCCUUCCUUCCUUCCUUCCCUCCUCCGCUCCCUCCUUCCCUCCUCGCCCCCUCCUCUUAA
rnacentral:lncRNA from 1 species